UACGAAGGGUGCAAGCGUUACUCGGAAUUACUGGGCGUAAAGCGUGCGUAGGUGGCUUGUUAAGUCUGAUGUGAAAGCCCUGGGCUCAACCUGGGAACUGCAUUGGAAACUGGCUGACUAGAGUGCGGUAGAGGGGUGUGGAAUUCCCGGUGUAGCAGUGAAAUGCGUAGAUAUCGGGAGGAACAUCUGUGGCGAAGGCGACACCCUGGGCCUGCACUGACGCUCAUGCACGAAAGCGUGGGGAGCAAACAGG
rnacentral:rRNA from 1 species